UACGGAGGAUGCAAGCGUUAUCCGGAAUGAUUGGGCGUUAAGCGUCCGCAGGUGGCUGUGUAAGUCUGCUGUCAAAGAGCGAAGCUCAACUUCGUAAAGGCAGUGGAAACUACACGGCUAGAGUGCGUUCGGGGCAGAGGGAAUUCCUGGUGUAGCGGUGAAAUGCGUAGAGAUCAGGAAGAACACCGGUGGCGAAGGCGCUCUGCUAGGCCGCAACUGACACUGAGGGACGAAAGCUAGGGGAGCGAAUGGG
rnacentral:rRNA from 1 species